CUCGUCACUGUCUUCUAACCUCCCCCCUCCCCCCACACACACUCUCUCGCACGCCGCAGACUUACAGCGCGCGAUCCGCGGGGCCUUCGACCGAUUUUCCGCCCCUCACACAUCAGCGCUUUUUCGUUUUCUCGUUCACCUGGCCGAACUUUCACGGCGCUGUAGCACACAGGAGUUGUAUACCAUCACGUCGCACGCUCCUUCCCUCUCUCUCUGCUUACGCGCGUGUGGGUAAAGAGGAGGCGUACGCUCGCCCUGGCCAUCUCACCACAUCCGCAUCGCACGCCCAUCUCUGUUUCGCUGUUGCUGUCGGUUUCACUUGGUUCACACUUAGAGCAUCGUGCCCACCUCCAUUCACGGCUGCUGUAUCUGUGUGUGCGCGCGCCGGUAUUCGCCUCCGGCACACUCCAUCCCCUCAGCUUCAUAUCUGGUCUUUCUAGCGAGAGGACUUCUCUAGUUCGGUUGCGAUGCCCUCCUCCACUCGCGCGUCCCGUCUCGUGGUGUCUGCCGCGGCGGCGGCGGCUGUUUUGGCUGUGCUGCUCGUGGGGCCGUGCUGUUUUCUAACCGCCUACGCGGCCGCCUCUCUGGGCGACUUUGGGCAAGAAUACCAAGCUAUUAUGGAGUCCGCCGGCAAAGGCUUCGGCAUGCUCUACCGCGACAUGACGGCACCGCCUGCCUCGUACCAGUGGGAGUGCAUCGAGGACUUGUCGUCGCAUUAUAGCGUGGCCUACGCGUCUCUGACAGAGCCGUACACGUUGAGCGUCUUGGCCUCCAUGAUCACGGUGACGCGAACUGCGUUCACCCCUGGUGUGUCCUACAGCCUUAUUGGCAUCGCCUGCACCUACGACGGCAACUGCGGUGAUUUGAAGCGCGGGAGCUUGCUUACGUUUUCACUGCGAGAGGACCUGAUUAUCAUCGUGGCCGGCUCAGUCUCAAGCAACGGCAUCACGAACUUCUUGCCGGUCUCCUACUACGUCGUCCAGCUCGCUAGCUCGUGCUCCAGUGCCAAUAUCGCCAAUGUAACGAGACCUUUUAGUGUUGGCGCCUCAUCCGUGUGGAUGCAGCUCUGGCAGUGAGCUGGGUGCAAGGGAACGGAGCUGCGUUUCACAGCGAACACGCCUCCCGACGGGCUCUCUCUCUCUUGCAUUGCUCAAGGCUUGCACGGGUGCUCACACACGGAGCACGGCCAGCGGCAGAUGUUUUCUUUUCGCCUUUUCGGAGUCCCCGGCACUGCCGGUGCGCGCGUCCGUGCGCACCUGCGUGCAUUUCUUGACUCGUGCCUCCCAUUGUUCUUUUUUCGUCUCACCUCCCUCCUUUCCUCUCGCUCGAGCCAUGUUUUUCUCGGGAAGGUGGCGGUGGUGGUGAUGGUGGGGGUGAGGGGGGGGUCUCCUGACGGUAGGCAACGGCGUCUUCUGCGCUCGUGCUGCACCGCUGUGGCGCAUCAUCGUUAGAGAGAGGAAUAAGAUGUUUUGUUGUAUGUUUGCCCUCUCUCUGUAUUUUCUUACGGGGCAAUGGACGAGGGCUGUGCUGGCUUGCCUGUGUGUGCCUGCGUUGUAUGUGCUUCCACCGUUUUGAUAUCUGGGAGAAGCGCAGCUCAGUACACGCCACACCUGCGCAGAAAUUCAAGCUGCAAAAGAAGGUGCGGUGAGGGAAUACACACGUUGUAGAUGCUUUUCGAACAACAAAGCCAAAACCGAGCAUGCAGGGAGCUGUGCGUGCUGCACUGCUGCGACCGCCGAGACUUGCGACGACGUGCGGGCGCGCGCAAGGAGAAGGGAGGGGGGAAUGUGCAGAGAUUGCAGAGGAAGCGGGGGAGAGGUCAACGUCUUCUUGGCUGCGGCGCGUCUGUGCUCUCCCGCGCCCCUCCGCGCACCGCUUCUUCUCGUCCCUUGAGACCCCAAUUGUCUGUUCGCAAGCAUCUCGCCUGCCUCUCCCUGCCGCACUAUCUGCAACGCCCUCUGCCCAGCCGAUCGGGUGUGCGCCUGUGUGGUUGUGUGUGUUGUAUUUGUGUGCCGUGGCCGCCCCUCCCCACUCUGGAGGGUAGCGGUGGGGGCUCUUCCUCAGUUGAGUCGCUGCUGUGUAGGGCUGCCCUUCGUCGCGGCUGCUUGAUGUUUACUUGCGAUCGAACGCAGCACUUGACUCCCACGCACAUGCGUUCUCCGUUCUCCACUGCCUUCCUCCCCUCCCUCUCCUUCUCCGCUUCUUGUGCGCACUCCGCGAAUUCACCAUUGCCGCCGGGCGGGCUGAUGUCCUCGCCACGCCUUUGCCCGGUCAUCGACCCCCUCUCUCGCGUCUCGCAACGAAACACUGCCAACUCUCCCCUCUCCGGCUCUCCUCCCACAAG
rnacentral:misc_RNA from 1 species